AGUAACGCGUGAGUAACCUGCCUUACACAAGAGGAUAGCCUUUGGAAACGAAGAAUAAUACCCUAUAAAACUAUAAAAGCACAUGCUAGAAUGGUCAAAGUGCUAGCGGUGUAAGAUGGACUUGCGUCUGAUUAGCUAGUUGGUGAGAUAAAGGCUCACCAAGGCAACGAUCAGUAGCCGGCUUGAGAGAGUGUACGGCCACAUUGGGACUGAGACACGGCCCAG
rnacentral:rRNA from 1 species